AGCAAGCUGAAAAGUUCACUGAAGUAGACUAACAAUUUACUACUGUUCCAGUGAGAUCCACUUGAGUGUUCAGUCUGCUUAUUUCUUAAUUCGUGUUACAUAGAUAUGAUAUGCCGAUUUUUUUUAGAGAAAAGGCUCAGCCAAGCCCGAGAAGGGCUUCGGACCUAACCCGACUUUGAAUUAACAAAGCCAUCAACCGGCCAGGAUACAUCGAGUAACAGCAAACAAACAUAACAGAAAAGGAAGAAAAAAAUGGGGACGCAACCCCAGACGACAGGUACAAGGUGAGGAAGCUAAGCAAACGAUCGGGGAACUUGAAACCAAAGCUACAUCACCACAAUCUCGCCCAUCAGUGCGCCCGAAGCAGAGGAAAGCCCCUAACACGAUGCACAUCAGAGCGCUGCAAAGGGACGGGGUCGCAACCGGAGACACGGCCGGAAGGAGAGCAUCGCAGCCACCGGGCCAAGCCAGUGCUCACCAGACUAGUCCCCAACACCACCAAGGCAUUGCAGUCGCCGGAGAGGAGACCACAAUCUCAUCUCGCCCAGGCUCGAGGGCACCGCACCGCCGGACUAACUGGAGCACCUUGGCAAGGGGUACAUCGCCUGGAAGAAACACCGAAUACGCCCGGAGCAAUGACGCUGCAGAGAAAGGGCCGCCAUCGGGAACCUGCCAAGCACGCCACGAGCACCAACCAUCUCCAUGCCCAAGGCGGCGCCUUCAGGAAGGUGACGACGCCGUGGCGCCGCCGCCGCCCAGCCACAGAGGCUAGGGUUUUCACCUGGGCGUCUGAGAAGGGGGGAGGCAGGGAAGAUGAACCUCGACGUCGCCACCAGGGAGGGAAUGGCAUCCAGGACGCCAUCGACGCCGUGACCACCACCGACGGUCAGGGGUUUCCCCCGGACAUGCUCCCUGCCGCCACCCACAGGACCAGCCAACGGAGCCAGAAGGCGCGCACGCCGAAGAUCCAGGCCUACCGGGGGUUGAGCGACGCGUGCUGGAGGGGAGCGUCUCAGAUCUGACGGGGGAGAUCGGGGCCUCCCCACGCCACAACCACCGUCCGCCGGUACCUCGCUGCCCGCGCAGCCGAGGGGAACCGGCCAAUCUCACCGACGAGCACCUCCCGCCGCCGGGGAAGGGCCGUCCACGCCGUUCCAAGGCCGCCGCCUCAGAUCCAGGCCUUCACCUCCAAAAGGGAACGGCCGACGGCCUCGCCGCCACCCUCACUGGCAGCCGCGCGAGGGGGCCGGCGAGGAGGAAGGGGAAGGGGGUCGGCGGCGCGACGGAAACCAAGGUUGCCCCCGAGUCGCCCUCAGGAGAGCGACGCGGGGGGAAGGGGGACUCGUGUGAUCUCUCCUUCCAUAGAGUCGAUAUGAUAUGCCGAUAAUCGUGUUAAAGUUUUAACUUGACAAUACAAUGGAUGUUGGCCAGUAUGACUCUGGUAUAGGUAUACGUAGUGCCUAUUUAUGUAUGUUUUGGCAUCUGUUCCCAUUCAUCGUGAUAAAUUGUACUCCUUAGAUACCCCACUCUGAACUUUCUAACCUAACUGAAGAGAAAACGACACCCAACUCUGAACUUUCUGAACUAACUGAACCGCAGGAGUUUAUUUCUAACAAUAUUGUAAGAUAAUCUUGAUUGGUGUGUAUGCAUUGGCAGCAGUUUGAUAUUUGACAUUUGGCAAUCUAUUUUUGUUUUUGUUCUUAAAAAAGCUGUACAUACUGCAGUGCUAAAAAAUAAUACAAAAUCAUCAGAUAACAAAAACUGUAGAAGCUUAGUGAUUUACCAAGCAGAGCAGGCUUUUACAAAUAAGCACAGAAGGUUGGCUUCGCUGGGGCACCACCUGCGAAAUCUCCAGGGGCAUCGGCUGUUGGGAGGGGAAAUUUAAUGAUGUGUACUAGGUUAGUAAAGCAAUUUUUAAAAGUGUGUAAGUGCAAGAACGACGUCCUCACAAUCUCAUAAGUUCAAAAGUUCUGAUACUUACUUGAAGUUUGUUCUUCUCUGGGGCGCGUUUGAUCCAUCUCGUUCUCACAAUCUCAUUUGCACACAUAACAAAAUCAGAGAUGUCUCAGCAUAUCAUGGCUCAUUUUAAGAGUAGAAAUUCAAGUCGGAUCAAACUGAAGCUCCAACCAUAGCUGAGACCACGUACGCAAAGAAGCUUCAACCUCAACACAACAGGUGCCUAUCCAAGCUACGUUGAGGUGAAAAACCUGAGGCAAGUUUUGUGCUGCAGUGCUAGUGCUAUCCGUUGGAUCGGCUGUAUAUAAAUAUAAAUUUCUGAGAGGCCAGAGAGUUUGUCCCGUCUCGUCUCUGAAUUACUUUCUUUGAGAUGGGUUUCUUCAGAGCAUAGAUGUCAGAAUGCCGGGGCAAAACUACAAAAAAAAAAAGAGUNNNNNNNNNNNNNNNNNNNNNNNNNNNNNNNNNNNNNNNNNNNNNNNNNNNNNNNNNNNNNNNNNNNNNNNNNNNNNNNNNNNNNNNNNNNNNNNNNNNNNNNNNNNNNNNNNNNNNNNNNNNNNNNNNNNNNNNNNNNNNNNNNNNNNNNNNNNNNNNNNNNNNNNNNNNNNNNNNNNNNNNNNNNNNNNNNNNNNNNNNNNNNNNNNNNNNNNNNNNNNNNNNNNNNNNNNNNNNNNNNNNNNNNNNNNNNNNNNNNNNNNNNNNNNNNNNNNNNNNNNNNNNNNNNNNNNNNNNNNNNNNNNNNNNNNNNNNNNNNNNNNNNNNNNNNNNNNNNNNNNNNNNNNAGGUUAGGGGUCAGCAGCGGGCUUCGCCGGCGACGGCCACUUCCGUGGCCACAUGCCAGCCAGCAUUGAUGCCCGGCACACUUUUUAAGGGCAUCUCCAGCCGCGUCCCAGGAAGGCCUUCCCAGGCGUUUUUUCGCGCCGGCGCCGAAAAAAUGGCCCAGUCGCGUCCCCAGGAGUCCGAUUUUCGCCGGCUUGGGCCGGAAACAGCGCCGGCGGACCCAGCCCGAACCCGGCGCGCUGGGGGGCGCCCGGGGGCGCCGGGCGAACUGUUUUGGCGCGAAAAAGCCGCGGGCCCGCCGCGUCAGCGACACGGCUCUCUUCUCGGCCCUUCGUCGUCCUCAGCGCCUCGUUUCCCGCGGUGAAUCAAUGCCAAAACUGCCGCGCGCUGCCGCGCCGGUCAGCCUGCACCAUUGAUGCCUCACGGGCGGCGCAGUGAAGACCGGACGACGCGCGUCCCUCGCCCUCCCUCGCCCGCCACGCGUACACACGGUGGCACGCGCGCCUCAACCUAUAUAUGACGCGCCCCGGCGCACUCGGCGACUAACACUCUCCCGCCGUCGUCGUUCCUCCCUUUCCUCUCCUCUCUUUCGCCGUCUCCAGUUCACACCCAUGGCCGAGCGCUUCCCAGGCGACGGCGCGGCGGCGUACGGCUUCGGCCGCCGCCAUCUUCAUGAAGACGAGGCUCGCCUCCUUUACGAGGCCGAGUACCCGGUCCCGCCGGACAUGCGGGUGCCCGGGGCGUGGAGGAUCAGCGCGGGCGGCGUGCCGGUGCCCCCGGUACCCACCGGCGCGACGCGGCGUGCGGAGAUCGCACGCAUCCGCUCGAACCUGCCGCGUGCGGAGAGGGAGGGGCCACGGUACCACUAUUAGGGAAAAGCCUAUACACAGAAUCUUAGCAGCAGCGCGGUUCAAAAAGGAGCGUUGCUGUUAACUAGUAGUAUCGCGUGUCCUGUAAACUCGCUGCUGAUAAGGAUUUAGCAGUAGCGCGCUCGGCCUAAAACGCGCUGCUACAAAUAUCGACCGGCGGUGUUCACCUAACUCUAAGUAGCAGUAGCGCGGUUGCGAGAACAGCGCUACUGCUAAGUAUGUAGUAGUAGCGCGCUUUUUCCAGGAUCGCUGCUGGUAAAUUUCAAAUUGCCACACUUUUUUGUCCCAGUUAGAAGUAGCGCCGUAUCCCAAAGCGCGCUGCUGCUAAAUCCUUAUCAGCAGCACGUUUUAUGUCCCGCGCUACUGCAAACCCGCACCAACCCAACACCUUUCCCCACCCGUCCCUCCCCUCCCCCUCCUCUUUUCCCUUCCCCCUACCUCCCCCUCCUCUCUUCCCUUCCCCCUACCUCCACCACAUGCUCCCACUCUCACUCUUCUUCUUCUCCUCAAUACUUCUCCCCCAUUACUCUCUCUCUUCUAUCCACCUUUCUCUCUCUUCAUUACUCCUACAUAACUACACCACCUCCAUUAAUGCAUCUCCUUUCUCUUUUUCCUUCCCCCUCCACUAGUUGAAGUUGUCUCUUCCCAAAUUAGGUAGCUAGGUAGAUGUAGGAUUUAGUUAAGUGACCUAUUUGCCCCCUAACUAGAUCUAUAUUUGUCAAGAAGAGCUUUGUGCACUUUUGAUCUCCCUACAACAUCAUCUCCACCAUGUGCUCGAUCUCGAUCGAGAUAGAGGUGAUGAAAAUUUAAUAUUUUGCAAAAUGGAAAUAUGUUUAUGUGUGUGUGAUAUGUUUGUGGAAAUUGUGUGUGUGGCAUGAGUUGACGCCGCCAAAUUGUGCUUUUGAGUUGCUUAUGUUUUGCCGAAAUGUCGAUUUAUUUCCGUUUCGGCGAAUUCCGGGCAAACUCUAGAUCCAUAUAUGUCCUAUUUUUAGGGAAGGUCAUGCCAAAUUUUUUAUGACUUUGAUGCAUGCAUGCAUUUUUAUAAUCAAUUUGUUUAUUAUUAUCGUGCAGAGUUGACGAUGGUCAGUGGAACGAUGGUGGACAGGUGGUUGCGGUCGGCGGUGCAGGACAUGAAAGAAAAUAACCGGACAGAGGUUUUAUGUCCGUCUCGAAAAUGCAAAGGAAUAGUUUGGCUCGACCCCCAUGACGAUGGUCGUGUCGAAGCGCACCUGCUCAUGACUAGUUUCAUGGAUGGCUAUACUCGGUGGAUAAUUGAAGAUGAGGAUGACGAUGUUGAGGAUGCCGACGGGGCAGGCAAUGAUGACACGGGGCAAGACGAAGAGAUGAUCAAUAAUGGCGGCGGGGAAGAGGCCGGACAUGGCGGCGGAGAAGGGGCCGGACAUGGCGGAGGAGAAGGGGCCAGACAUGGCGGCGGAGAGAACGACAUGGACUCCACGCAGCAGAGUUUGUCGGUACUAAGUUCAAUUGUGCGGGACCCUCAUGUUCAAGCAUUGCUUCGCAAGGAGACGAGUACUGAGAGAGCUGCUUCUAGAGAGGAGGCUAAGCUGGAGCAACUGGUGGUAGACUCGAACACUCCAUUGUAUGAUGGUUGCAAUCCUGAGGUGACCCACUUGAGUUUCACGCUCCAACUCCUGAAGACGAAGGCUAAAAACAAAUGGACCGACACUAGCCUCGAUGAGCAUCUCAAAUACCUAAAGGAUGUUCUUCCCGCGGGUAAUCUAUGUCCUACUAGUGUUGAUGAGGCCAAGAAGAUCGUGUGCCCUCUUGAUCUGCCACACGUUAGAUACCAUGCAUGCAUCAACGAUUGCAUAAUUUAUCGGAAGGAGCACGCGGAAAAAACAAGUUGUCCGGUGUGCAAUGCUUCUCGAUACAAGAAGGCCGGGAAGAAAUGUCCCCAGAAAGUUGUAUGGUACUUACCGAUCACUCCCCGUCUCCAGAGGUAUUUUGUAGAUCCCAAGGAAGCAAAGCUAAUGCGCUGGCACGCGGAGAGGAAGAAGCCCGACGAUGGAGAUGAUCCGAAGCUGAGACACAUGAAGGAUGGAAGCCAGUGGAGAGCGUUGAACAACUUCUAUCGGUAUUUUGAAUGUGAUGCAAGGAACAUCGUGCUCGGCGCGUGUACCGAUGGCAUGAAUCCGUUUGGCAACCAGAACACCAACCAUAGCACAUGGCCCGUGUUUGUAUGGAUGUACAACCUCCCCCCUGGUUGUGCAUGAAAUCGAAGUACAUUCACAUGAGCAUGCUUAUUCAAGGGCCGAAACAACCAGGAAAUAAUAUUAAUUUGUAUCUGGGGCUACUUCAAGAGGAGUUAGACACGUUAUGGAAAACACCGGCCAAGACAUGGGACGCCAGCAAAGGUGAGUAUUUCAACAUGAGAGCCGCGCUGAUCACGACAGUGCAGGACUAUCUCGGUUACGGAUAUGUGGCAGGCUAGGUGUGCCAUGGAUAUUGCGGAUGCACGCGGUGCAUGGAUGAUACGACGUCUCAGCAGCUAACGUCAAGGAAAGAUGGCGGGUCUGGGAAAAUCGUGUACAUGGGGCAUCGAAGAUGGCUUGAACAGGACGACCCGUGGAGAAACCCUGGAGAUCUAUUUAAUGGUUACGCUGAGCAUCGAGGACCUCCACGUAAGCGGAGCGGUGCCGAAAUCGAUGAGCUGUUGAAAAACCAGAAGGAGUGCCCCGCGCCGGGAAAGACGAUGAGAAAGGCGCCGGAGCCGCUGCUGAAGGUAUGGAAGACGAGGUCUGUGUUCUGGGACUUGGAGUACUGGCACAAACUCGAUACACCUCAUUGCCUUGAUCAAAUGCAUAUCUGUAAGAAUGUCCUUGAGAGCUUGCUCGCAACACUGAUGAACAUGCCGGAUAAGACCAAGGAUGGGCCGAAGGCAAGAAAAGACUUGCAAGAUUUGAAAAUCAGGGAAGAUCUGCACAUGUCGGCCCGUAAAAUGUCAGACGAGACAGAGACGGAGACAGAGGCACGGGAGAAGAAGGUCAAGAAAAUAAAGAAAGAGGAUUAUUGCCCCCCUUCUUGCUUCAUCUUAAGUCAGGCUGAGAUCAAUCAAUUCUUUAAGUGCCUUACCGGAGUCAAAGUUAGUUCCGGUUACUGUGGCAAGAUAAGCAGAUAUCUAGACACAGACAAGAAAAGUUUCAGCGGGAUGAAGUCUCAUGACUGUCAUGUGAUGAUGACGCAGAUACUACCUGUUGCCCUUAGAGGGAUAAUGGACAAGCACGUGCGUGACACGCUUAUUGGUCUCUGCAACUUUUUCAACGUCAUCUCUCGAAAGUCGAUCAGUGUGAAGCAGCUCCAAAGGCUACAAGAAGAGAUCGUUGUGAUACUGAAUGAGCUUGAGAUGUACUUCCCGCCCGCGUUCUUCGAUGUGAUGGUGCAUCUGUGUGUCCAUAUUGUGGAUGACAUAAUAUACCUGGGGCCGUCAUUCCUGCACAACAUGAUGCCGUUUGAGAGGAUGAAUGGGAUCAUCAAAGGAUUCGUUCGUAACAUGUCCCGUCCGGAUGGAAGCAUCGUCCAGGGCUAUUUGGCAGAAGAGUGCAUCUCUUUCUGUGAGAAUUUUCUAUAUGGCGCAGACCAGCCGCCUGGUGCUAGUGUUGGUUUGCGUGUUAACAAGCACGAUGGGAGGCUCGAAGGAGAUGGUCACUGCAACGGUCGCAGGGAACUGCAUGUGGCAUACUCAGAUCGACGCAGCGACUUUGACAGAGCAAACUUGGUAGUGCUACAACACCUAGACGAGGUAGAUCCUUUCGUGGCACUGCACAAAGAAAUUAUCGAAGUAUCGUGACCGGGGGGUAUGCAGGACGGACGCCGAAGUUACUAGAGAGCAAAACUCCACUUUCCUGCAUUGGUUCAAAGAGCAUAUUAUUGCUAAUCCCCCGGAGGAGGGCUCUAAGGACGGAUUGCUCAUAUACGCCUUAGCACAUGGCCCCUCGCCCAACCUCGUAACCUAUCAGGCAUAUGAUAUCAAUGGAUACACGUUCUACACGGAGGCAAAAGAUAUGGACAGUGAUGAUCAGAACUCAGGGGUGACGAUGGAAUGCAUGACCGGCAACGACAACGACACAACUGAACGAUUUUAUGGAAGGGUCGAGGAGAUCUGGGAGCUUGACUACUCUGGACUGCACAACACGACGAUGUUCCGUGUCAGAUGGGCUAAGAAUGUCGAAAGAGAAAGCCGGAUGUUCACUACCAUGACUAUACCCGACGCCAAGAGCGCUACCGUGAACGCUAUCGCAAAAAACGAGCCAUGGGUACACGCUAAGCACGUGACACAAUGCUUCUUCAUAACUGACCAGCGCAAUCCCAACCGUGUUGUCGUGAGGAGAGGCAAAAGGAACAUCAUUGGAAUGGAUGGAGUCGCCAACGAGGAAGACUAUGAUCAGUACGGCAACCCAAUGAGGGAAGAUGACGAUGAUGAUGAAGUAUACGUCAAAAGAAGAAUCAAUACUACAUUACCUAAGAAAAAUCGUACUCCAUGGAAAAGGCAAAGUCACAAUGAGGGGCUCAAUUAUUCUUUGACGAACAAGAAGGGAAAGAAGCUGACUCAAAAACGAAAACGUCAGCACUGAGGAAACGUAUGUUAUGGGUCCAAUGAUGUGUAAUAUAUAUAUAUGUUCCUAUUUUGUAUACACACUUAGCCAUUAUUAUGCAUGGGUCCAAUGAUGUGUAAUAUAUAUGUUCCUAUUUUGCAUACAUAUUUAACCGUCAAAUGAUGCAAUAUAUAUCGCCCUCCCUUCGUUCACUGCCCUCGGGAAAUAAAAGUGGGAUAAAAUAAAGGAAAAGAAAAAGGAAAACUGGCAGUAGCGACGGUAGUAGCAGCGCGUUUUGUAUAAACCGCUGCAGCUACUGAAUUUAGUAGUAGCGCAUUUUACCUAAACCGCUGCAGCUACUGAUGUUAGUAGCAGCGCGUUUUGACGUAACGCGCUACUGCUAUGUCCACUUAACCCAAAAUUCUCACUCGCCCCGCUUCAUCCCGCCAUUUCCCCCCAAAUCCCCACUCUCUCUCCCCCGUCGCACCGCCGUGCCCGAUCCGGCCCCGGCGCUCGCCCCCGACUCCGCCGGCGCCGGCGCUAGCCCCCGACCCCGGCGCUCGCCCCCGUCCCGACCCUCGACCCCGACCCCGGCANNNNNNNNNNNNNNNNNNNNNNNNNNNNNNNNNNNNNNNNNNNNNNNNNNNNNNNNNNNNNNNNNNNNNNNNNNNNNNNNNNNNNNNNNNNNNNNNNNNNNNNNNNNNNNNNNNNNNNNNNNNNNNNNNNNNNNNNNNNNNNNNNNNNNNNNNNNNNNNNNNNNNNNNNNNNNNNNNNNNNNNNNNNNNNNNNNNNNNNNNNNNNNNNNNNNNNNNNNNNNNNNNNNNNNNNNNNNNNNNNNNNNNNNNNNNNNNNNNNNNNNNNNNNNNNNNNNNNNNNNNNNNNNNNNNNNNNNNNNNNNNNNNNNNNNNNNNNNNNNNNNNNNNNNNNNNNNNNNNNNNNNNNNNNNNNNNNNNNNNNNNNNNNNNNNNNNNNNNNNNNNNNNNNNNNNNNNNNNNNNNNNNNNNNNNNNNNNNNNNNNNNNNNNNNNNNNNNNNNNNNNNNNNNNNNCCCUCUCUGCUAGGGUUCUUCGGUUAUGUUAAUUAAUUAGGUUAUCUAUUUAGUUAUGAAUUUAGCUAUGUUUCAAAAUUAGCUGAAUUUAUAUGCAAAUUUGAACUGGACAUGUGAUAUGUGCAUAUGUCAUGUUUUGGACAUGUCAUGUUUGGAAAAUGAUCCGAGUGGCCUAUGUUACGCCGGAAUGUUGAUUCAUUUCCGUUCAGGUGAAUUUCAGGCGCUCGAUAUGUCCAUUUUUUAGCAAAGGUCAUGCCGAAAUUUCCCGUGAAUAAAGGCAUCAUUUGUGCUACAUAGUUGGCAUAUCGAGUGCUGGCACAUAGAUUUCUUUUUAUGUCAUUUCUCAUUUAUUCAUACUUUUAGAAAUAAAUGAGGCCACUUAAUCAUAGGAAACAUGUCGAACAACAAAGAAACUGGGCCUUCUGACCAAGAUGCAAACGAGAUGGAUUAUGAGGCUGAACAAGAGUACCUCGACUAUUUGACUGCUAAGCAAGGUUUGCAGGUCAGCCUCGAUGAUGGUACUGACACCGACAUCGACACCGACGGCGCCGGCACCGAUGGCGGCACCAAGAUCGGUGGGGAAGGUACCGGCGGGGAAGGUACCGGCCCCGAUGCCGCUACCGAAAAGAGGAAGCAUAAGAAGCAGAGGAUACGAAAACCUAACAAACUAGGGAUUGGACAACUUGUGAUCACAAAGAUGGCACCUGGCAAGUUUGAGCCGUUAGAGCCGGAAGAACCUUGCAAGUGCUAUGGGAACCAAGUAGGAUGCAUCCUAUGGGAAUGCGCGAGCAUCAACGACGAUGACUUAAGGAGUAAAGAACAUUUGACGCAGUUGCUCCUAACGAAGUUGCACAAGAGAUUCAAGUUCCCCGACCGGGAUGAUAACAUAGAACAACCGUGGGAUGAUCCGAAGAUGAAAAAGAUUAACAAUCACGCCAUGGGCAUGUUCAGCAAUGAUUUGGCCUCCUGGAAAGGGAGGGUGAAACGAGCUAUUGAGGCUGAUGAACCCCUGUCCAAGAUUCUGGAGGAAAAUCCGACACUUACGGAAGAGGAGUUCGAAAAGUUCAAGGACACUUGUGCUACCGAGGCAGCCAAGGCUAAGGCUGCGAAAUUCAAAAGCCUUCAGCAAAGGAACACGGGGAAGCAUCGCCUCAAAAGUCGUGGCUACCUCGGUAAAAGGCCCAUAUGGGAUAAGGAGGACGCGGAACAUGAAGCCGCAGGUCUCCCAGACCCCUUCGUGAAGUUCACCAACCCCUUGGAGCAUGACUUCAUCAGGGCCCGCUACAAGUGGGACAAGGAGAAAAAGGUUUUUUACACGGACAAGAUCACGAGGAAAUUGAUUAGACUACUGGAGAAGCUACACCGGCUUGCAGCCGAAAGCCCUACUUCUCUGAUGAGGCCCAAGUGGGACACCCCUCUCAACCGGGCCUUGAACGAACUUAAGGGACUCCCGUUGGACCAGCGGCCGCAAUAUGGUCGUGUGCACGGCGCUGGAGACGGCGCCACGUGGAAGGUGUUUUACAACGACGGCCCGGAGGCCAAGAAGCAGAAAAAGAAGUUUAGUCAGGCGGACAUCGACGCAAAGGUGAAGCUUGCGGUCGAGAAAAAAAGCAGCCGAGGACAAAUAUGAGUUGCUACAGCAGGCAGUUAAUGCAGCUGUAACUGCCUGCAGAAAUGAUUUCGCUACUAACUUGGUUCCAGUUAUCAUCAACUGGGCGAAGGAAAAUCCAGACAAGACGGUACAUGAUUUCCCGAUGCCCAGCUUCGUCACGAGCAACUCCAUGAACAACAACACCAUCGCACCAUCACUUGCUCAAGCAACCGGGCCUCCUCUCGCAGCCGCUCUCGCUCAUAGCAGCCCGUCCUCAGUCUCAGGCACGCUAGGUGGGUCUCAAUAGUACAACUUAAAGCCUUCCAUGCUUUAUAUUUUCUCUGAAAUUUGCUCUCCAAGAAUCAUGUAUCUAUGUUAGAUCCGGUGAAAAAAGGCGGCUUCCAAGCAGAGGAUGUGGGAGUGUUGGCCACAUUUGGUUUGCGACUUGGGUGUCUAAAUAUUCUCACAAUACUUGGCUCCCUCUUGGCCUUUGCGCCAUUGGCGUAAUGAGUCAUCUAGUAUUUAAGAACAGAGGGAGUAGCUAGCAUGCCUGACUCGGCAAUACGCCGCCUGAUCGAACCGUCAUGAACGCAUGCUACGAGAGACACCCGUCUCCGUCGUAGCACGGUCCGAACUCCGAUGAUAUUGGUGAUACGCCGCCCUUGCCGGUUGCCGCCGGUGGAUCUGCUGAUCGGAGGAUUGGAUUCUGGGUGUGGCCUGUGGCGUUCUGUUUGUAUUUGGAUAGGCGAAGAGGUUUCCAAGUAUUCGAUGGAUACGACUAAACGUCUCUUUACGUUUCAGCGCAGCGAAAACGUAUUUUAGGAUAAGUAAUAGCGCACUCCCCUUGUAAACCUGUCAUUGUCACCAGCAGCAUGUCGACGUUGUCACCAGCAGCACGUCGAUGAACGAUAUUGAUCAGUGCUUGUCACCAGAAUAUCUUCCAUUCAUUAAAAUCGAUUGAUAUUACACAGUUUACAGGUUUAGUAUCGAUCACCACCUGUCGAUAAGUUUGCAGAAUUUGUUUACGUUCAAGAUAUGAAGAUCCACAAGUGCUCGAGCUUAGUUUGCCCAAGCAAAAUGAUCCUGCCUUCUUCACUCCAACAAUUCUCUAUUUGCAAUUCCGGAGGGCUUGACAUGUUGUUUCGACUCACAUUUUACAGAAGCUCGCCUCUCUUCCCCUUCUGCAUUUGGACGACUGUCCUAACGUCGAGUUCCUUCUAUUGAACUAUAUCAACACAAACAAACUCAAAUGUUUGUUUCUAUGCCGGUCCCUGAGUUGUCGUCUAUUGGAGGAUCACAUGCUCUUUCGGCUAUAAAACUAUUGAAACAAAUGCACUUCUACAUUCUCAUGAAAGAAACUAGAAAGUGACAUAAAGAGUAGAAGAGACACGAACAAUAAAAUCAUGAAAAUGCUCCAAAAAUAGUUCGAACUUCUUUGCAUUCUCCCAAUCUUUCUUCAGGGCAACCAAGCAAUCAUUCUCUUUAGAAAGAUCACUAACGUAAGUAAUAUGCUCUCCAUCUAACCUUGUGAACACCUUCUAAUAAAUAUUUGCCUCAACCGUCAAACAUCCUCAACAUUCCACCUUCCUCGUGAACAUCGAGCUUGAGAAAUGCCCAACCGUCUGCCGUCCACCUUUUCUUCCUCAGCAGUCUCUUUAAAUAAACUUGACAAUUCUUGUACUCCCUCCGUCCAAAAAUAAGUGACUCGACUUUGUACUAACUUUUGAGUCACUUAUUUUUGGCCGGAGGGAGUACCUAAUAACAGCUCGACAACAUUUCAUGGAUAUGCCCACUUCUUUUAUGCCAUCUUGCACAAUAAGGUUAACAACGUGUGCAAGACACCUCAUGUGCAAAAACUUGCAAUUAGCGAUGUGUGUUUUGCUCAGCUGCCUCCUCAAAUAAACAAUACCACCGUCAUUGGCACUUGCAUUAUCAACAACUACAAUCACUAAUCACCGUGCUGCUCCCGUGCGGGCGGCUCGAAAGAAACCCUAGCUGCCGCCGACAACUCCACCACCCAUCCUCCUUCUUCUCCCGCCACCGCCUGAGGGCGUCGCCGGGCAAAUCCCAGGCGGCGCCGGCGCCGGCGGGGGCGACUUCUUCCUCCUCUCGUCUGGGCAUGGCGGCGUGGGGCGCGACUUGGCGGUGGAGACUCGCGCGUGAUCUGUGGUGGCACACUGCGGCGGCGUGGAGGCGCGGAUGGCUGCUCGUCCGGGGAAUCAGCCGAUGCUUUCCAUGGGGGCUCCCGCGAUCUGGCUCCCUAGAGGUGGCGGUUACCUCGGCCGGCGGUCCCGUGGUUGCGAUCGGGGACGGUGGAGCGACGCGGAGGUGCUGGGCCGCGCAACCCCCUGGCGGCGGUGGCCUGGGCGUGUUGCCUUGCUAGGUAUGGGCGGUUCCUCUGCUCCAGAUCUAAGGCAGCGAUGCAGGGCGACGACGACCAGGCAGGCGACAGCGUACGACCACGGGACGGCGGCGGCUUGGGCACUCGACCUGGGCCCGGUUGGAUUUCAGCGGGCUGCACACGUCAUAUUGUUUCAUCAAUGGCAUGCUGCUCCUAGGAUCAACCCGCAACACGAGGACAUCGGGGGCUCCGGUCUAGGCAUGGCAGUGGUGGGAACCUCCUUCGCUGGAGAUGGUCGGCCUGAGGCUGGGUGGUCGGAUCUUCAGAUCCGUCAUCUAGUCCCGGCUGCGAGUUGGGGAGACAGAGUUGCCGGUGAAAACUGAGCCGAUGGCGGGCGAUGGUGGCGUUUUGCGCUGUUACCUUGUUGAAGGCAUCACCGUGUAACUUAUGUCGAUCCACUCAUGCUGCUUUGGGGGAAACCCUAGGAUCUGGUCAUCCAGAUCGGACAAUGGCGGUACUUGGGUGUCGUUUUUCUCUUGGGAGCAUCGUUUGUGGAGCAGCGCUGGAAGACAGGAGGAGGAGGUGGAGCGGCUAAGUCUUGCACAGAGCUUUGGUGGAGAUGCAAGUCAUGCCUGGCUGACAGGUGCUACGUUGUGUCAUGCCUGGUCGACAGUACGCACGACAAAUCUUAUAGAGUCUUCGCGUCUGGAUGGAUGCGCGCUGGGCAGUGGCGCCGUUGGGAGUCGUGGUGGCCUCAACGGAUGUCCGGACUGGUAAGGAUGAUGCAGAUCUCUCUCCUAAAGAUGGAUCAGCGUACGAUGAUGAUGGCGGCUUCUAAAACAUGUGCAUGUGGUGUGCGUUUUAGGUCUGCUGCACUGGUUGUUGGUUCCGAUACGUUAUGUGGAUGGAUCGGCAACGACACUGGUUUUAGAUAUGGGGGGUGAGAGGACUCCACAUUAUCGAUUGUAGGUGUGAGCGGUGGCUUCGGAUGGCUUGAUGUGUGUUCUUGUCAGUAAUUUGUCGAAUAAUUAAUAAAGAUGGUUGUAUGCAUCGAUUGAUGCAGAGCCCGUGGUUUAACCUCCUUUUCAAAAAAAAGGUAAGCAUCUCACCAAGUUUUUUCCUAUAUCAUCCCCGUUUGUGCCCCUCCACCAAUAAAAAACCAAUCAUUUUCUUCUGUAGGCUCCAAGAUUCAUCAAUAAAACUUGUUGUCACGGUCAUAUAUCCAUAUUGUCACUAAGAAGACGAACAAUAUGUUGUUGGGCAAACUCGCUGACAAGAAUCAUUGAAGAAUUUCUUGAGCUUAGACUUCUCUUGGAAAAACAGUCACACAGUGUCUCUAGUACAUGUUCUUCUAGAUGGCAGUUUGAAACGUGAGCAGGCUUUGGACAUAAAUUUUCUAAAGCCCGCCUUCUAAAAAUAAGCAAACACUAACUCACCUUCUAUGAUCAUCUCUGCAAAAGCUUCCCUAAGCGCGUCAAGAUCAAACCUCCAAGUCCGGACGCCUUUCCCUUGAGUUGCUUGCAAAGUGCCCUGCUUUGGAUAUUUGUUGAACUUGUGAGGGUUACGCUUGCACACAUUGAAGCGUCUAAUCAAGGAUAACGUACCAUGGACCUUUGUGUCAGCCUUCAUAUCAAGAUUGCAAUAUUUGCAUUAUUCUCAUCCUUAAUCUUGAUGAAAUGGUUCCACAUAUCUGAUCGUGGUGCCAUCUCCUUCCUUCCCUUACAUUUCUCACUAUUCUUCCGAUUCUCAAAAUCAAGAACCCCAUGCUCAUCCACAUCAGAUUGAUGUGUGCCAGAACAGUGAUCACACGAAGAUGGUUGUGAACCACAAGCUUCCUCCUUUGAAAAUGGUUGUGCACCAGAAAAUUCAGCCUAUACAAUUGUGCCGCGAGUGACCCUGAGUGCCCACUUGUUCCAUCUCCAUGUGAUGAUCAUCGGGUUGAGUCAUCUAUAAGACACAAAAGAAUAGAGCAUUGACAUCACUCAUUUUGGUACAAUGGUCAGCAGAGAUUGCGAAAUACAGAAAAUAUGCAAUAACAUACAACUCAAUCACCAACUCAUUUUAACUUCUUUUUUGUCAACCAUCACGUUCAAAAUAUCACACAGAAUGGCAGAAUUAGCAAGCUGAAAAGUUCACUGAAGUAGACUAACAAUUUACUACUGUUCCAGUGAGAUCCACUUGAGUGUUCAGUCUGCUUAUUUCUUAAUUCGUGUUACAUAGAUAUGAUAUGCCGAUUUUUUUUAGAGAAAAGGCUCAGCCAAGCCCGAGAAGGGCUUCGGACCUAACCCGACUUUGAAUUAACAAAGCCAUCAACCGGCCAGGAUACAUCGAGUAACAGCAAACAAACAUAACAGAAAAGGAAGAAAAAAAUGGGGACGCAACCCCAGACGACAGGUACAAGGUGAGGAAGCUAAGCAAACGAUCGGGGAACUUGAAACCAAAGCUACAUCACCACAAUCUCGCCCAUCAGUGCGCCCGAAGCAGAGGAAAGCCCCUAACACGAUGCACAUCAGAGCGCUGCAAAGGGACGGGGUCGCAACCGGAGACACGGCCGGAAGGAGAGCAUCGCAGCCACCGGGCCAAGCUAGUGCUCACCAGACUAGUCCCCAACACCACCAAGGCAUUGCAGUCGCCGGAGAGGAGACCACAAUCUCAUCUCGCCCAGGCUCGAGGGCGCCGCACCGCCGGACUAACUGGAGCACCUUGGCAAGGGGUACAUCGCCUGGAAGAAACACCGAAUACGCCCGGAGCAACGACGCUGCAGAGAAAGGGCCGCCAUCGGGAACCUGCCAAGCACGCCACGAGCACCAACCAUCUCCAUGCCCAAGGCGGCGCCUUCAGGAAGGUGACGACGCCGUGGCGCCGCCGCCGCCCAGCCACAGAGGCUAGGGUUUUCACCUGGGCGUC
rnacentral:lncRNA from 1 species